rnacentral:rRNA from 1 species
AUUGAACGCUAGCGGGGUGCUUUACACAUGCAAGUCGAACGAGUGGCGGACGGGUGAGUAAUAUAUCGGAACGUGCCCAGUAGCGGGGGAUAACUACUCGAAAGAGUGGCUAAUACCGCCUACGAUUUGCGCGGCCGAUAUCGGAUUAGAUAGUUGGUGGGGUAAAGGCUCACCAAGGCAACGAUCCGUAGCUGGUUUGAGAGGACUACCGUCAACACUGGGACUGAGACACGGCCCAGACUCCUACGGGAGUCAGAAGUGGGGAAUGUUGGACAAGGGGUGAAACCCUGAUCCAGCCAUCCCGCGUGUAUGAGAAGGCCUUCGGGUUGUAAAGGACUUUUGGCAGAGAAGCGGUAUCUGCAGAAUAAGCACCGGCUAACUACGUGCCAGCAGCCGCGGUAAUAC